AUCGAAAAAUAGCCGAAUUCCGCUUAGCGGAAACGGGGGAACCACGUUUUUGGGGUGAAUGGUUGCUACUCCUAGCAGCCUAGGGCGUCCUUUCGACCGAACCCUUCAGCUAACCUCGUAGGCUCACGAAGGGAGCAGUU
rnacentral:sRNA from 2 species